CGUCCACCCCCAGGAGGAAGCCGCGCUCAAGCGUGGGUGCAAAGCUCAGUACGCACCGCGUCCCGCCCCCACGCCGUCCCCGACCGGGGCAAGCCCUCACGUGGGCCAGCGUCCCGCUCAGAGGUCCCGCGAACUCUCCUGCUGGCGUACACCCAGCCCCACCUCUACUGCGCAAACUCGGCCUCUCACAACGUGCCCUGGCAACGCCCAGAGGAGCCCCCGGGGUCGACGGCUCGGGACGCACACCCGGAGCCCUCCUGUCGACGGGGUGGGGACCACGCCACGCUCCGGCCGCUCCCUGCGCCCUACCCUCCCCGCAAACUCACCGCCGGGGCUCCCCAAGGGCAUACCCACGUCCUCAGCAGUGACAACGGAGGUGUCCGCGCCUCCAGUACCGCCCCGGCCCGCCCCCAGCGCUCACCGGGAAGACGAUGUUCCCGAGUUCUCUUUCGGCGCCGGCCCUGGAACCGCACUGCCGGCCGAGCACCACCCUCCUUCCGAGGAGCUGUCGCUGCGGGGCUGCAUGGACCCCGGGGGCACAGACACCCUGCGGGGGGGUGGGGGGGGCGCCCACGCCGUCCCUCCUCGGUCCGGGACCCCUCGAGCUCUGGGCUGCUGCGGGCGCGGGGCGACGCCCCCUGUCGGCCGGCUGCGCAGGUACCGCGUGAGAGCCAGUGAGCGCGGCCGUCUGUGCCCAGGGCCCUCCGCGCGUCCACCCGCGCCACAGCCCCUCUGCAGAGGGGGGCUCUGCAAAGGCGCCCCCCCCCCCAACAACGCCACACGACCGAGGAGACGCAGGCGGCUCACCCCGCCCCAUUCCCCGCGGAGACCCCGGGCGGCGGGCGCUCAAGAGCGGGUUUGGGCUGCAAACCCGCGGUAAAAGGCAGGCGGCCCCAGGAAGCCCAGGCCCGACGGGAUGUCCCCAGGAGGGCGCCGGCUCCAGGUCUACCUCCCCGCACCCACCGCGCCGGGGCGGGCGUGAGCGCGCGUCACAGGGACCCCAGCUCCUGACCCGUUCUGUUCAGAGCUGCCGAAGGCGCCACGAGGAAGACACGCGGUGGCAACCGGCACGUCACGUGCUGUCCCGGACAAGCUUCGGGGGCAGGAAACCGUCCCCGGGGACGACGAGAAAAUCACCAACAGUGCCGACUUUACCGACAAAGUGUUCGUUUGCUGGCUGUGAAGGACGCACCAGCCCCUCGCGUCAUGGAUACACCUCCCUCCUCGCAUAACAGACCUGCCCGGGGAGUGGUGGACGCGUCCUGCUCGCAGGACGGACGGAGGUGCUCGGAGAGUGAGGGCGGCGCCCGGCUCGCGUGACGGACGCGCCCAGAGACUGACGACGCGCCUGGCUCGCGUGGGGCGUCCGCCAGGAGCAGGAAGUGUGGGGUCCGCGAGAAGCCGGUAGCAUAAUCACAAGGAACUGUUCUACAGUUUAGUAUGGAGAUUCCCUUCGUUGGAAAACGAAGCCAUUCCCAUGAAAUCUUUGUCUCGGAAGCAUAAAGGACUUCACUUUCUCCAGAAAGGUAACACAGCAGGAAAUAGACGAUGCAGCAGCGUCUGCUGCUCGAGGCCCCGGAACCGCUGGGAAAGCACCCCCCACCCCCACCCCGGGCCUGGGCCGCCCUCCACACUGCAGGCAGGUCGGGAAAUGCAGGGCCGCACGGGCAGCACAGACGACGUCAGGGCGACGGUUCCGGCCUCCUGCUGCCCCGGCCGGGACACGCACAGCCCCACGGACUGACAGAAACCGUCCGCCGGGGCACCCGGGCCUGCGGUCACCGCCAGCACGGACGCCCCCCCCCCGUGGGGACACUGGAGCAGCCCCAUUAGCUCGCUGGGUCUGGGGCUCCCGCGUCCUCUUCCUGAGCAGCACCGCGGGCCCGCAGACGCUCCCUCCCUUGUGUCUGGGGCUCAGGCUCACACCCCCGGACCCCGCCGCCGUGGCCCACGCCGGGCGUGCUGGCUCCCCGACAGCCCAGCUCAAGGCGAACACGCUCACGCAGUCCCCAUGGAGGCUACCGAGUGACGCGCAGACGACGACGCGGGAGAUCCCGCGGCCUGGAACCUCCUGGAGCGGACCUCUGCGAGACGGUAGGGAGCUCCCCCGACGGGCUCCCAGGCCCGGCCCCUGUCCCGGCGGCCGCAUUCUUGUCCACAAGGGACCGGUUCUCUGCUCUUCUGGGGAAGGGCCGCCCCGCGGGUACCCCCACCGAGCAAGUCGGCUGCCAGGCACCGUGCCUCCAAGCAGCACAGCACCGCCGGCCGCGCCUGCAGGCUCCAGCUUAGUGCACGAGCUGCUACAAGUUCUCACUUCAGAUCUCCAGACUGCCUGGCUGCGCACGAUGGCGCAUGAAUGCGGCUGUGUGGCCGUAGCCAUCACUCUCAGUGUUACCUCGGCCUCUUUCGGAACCUCACGUCUUCAGGGGUUUUGUGGAAGCUCACCCCCUUCAAAGUGCCACCUGUUCCUCCACAGAGCGUCCAAGAUCGGAGCCUGCACACCCAGCCCCUCCUGUCUGAUCCAGAAACGGAGUCAGUGUGUCCAGGCGUUGGGGGCCACGGUGGGGUCCCUGCAGUCCUGCGCCCCAGACCCCAAAUCUCCAUCCACGACGUCUGCAACUCAAGGUCAUCUGUCCGACCAACAGUCUGUGCAACAGUUUGUGCCUGGGGUUUUAGCAAAGAAAUCGGAGACAGCCUCAUCUUGGCCCCGACUGUCACAGCAGAGACCACGAGACUGGCCCCUCAGACUCCAGCCUCACGGGAAGGUGGUGCCAACCUGAAGUCACCAGCUCUACCCACAGGGUCACAGGCUGCCUGGACUGCUGUGGGCAGCAUUUCAUGUUCGCUACCCACACUCCCAGGACUCGACCACAGAAUCGGCCCCACGUACUUGGGCAUGCAGCUCAGGGAAGCCUUCGUGACCUCCAGCCUCAGUUUCCCCAUCGGCAAGCUGUCCAUUCGCUGCCAGCUGAGGCUCCCAAGUAUAAAUGAGCUACAUUUUAAAGAAACGGUGAAAAGGAACUGAAAGCAAAUGUUUCUGCCAACUACAUUCCUUUCGCCUCCCCUUCCCAAGCCCACAAGGGCUGCCACAUGCCUCUGCCUGUCACGCCGCCAUCCGCCACAUCUUGCUGUCCUCCCGUUCCUCCUUCGAGACUCUCCUGGCUGGCUCACUGCCCUGACCCGGCCAUACACGCUGUCUUUCUAAAACGGAAAGCACUCUUUUUCUGUUUCUGGGAAUAUCUGAAGGGGUUCCACCUUCCCCCCCAAACCCCUCAGCACCUGCCAACUACACCGUCCCUCGCACAUGGUGGGCUGGCCAGGCAUCAGGGUCCCAGCCCUGCACCCGUGUCCCCAGCUCCCUGCCGCUGCCUUCCUGGGCAUCGAUCCCCUAAUGAAUAAAGGAGAAGGAGCCCAGGGCGCUGCAGGAUUGAAGGGGCACCACACACAUCACUGCUCAGAGCAUGUGCUGCUCUCGUGACAGCUCUUACGUGGGGCUGCUGUCAGGGCCCGUGUCUCCAGCUCCCCCAGCGCCUCGCAGCCCAUCACAGAAAGUCCCUGUGGGGACAGGGCCCGGCAGAGGGCCAGACCAUUGUCCUUAUGUCCUCAGGGGGCAAGACCUCUGGCAAAUGAAUGGUAGAUGGUGACAUGCUGCUCCAUCGUGAGAUUAAUCUUAAAAUAGCAUUUGUUCUGGCCAAUAGGAUGAGAAAACGCUGCAGGCGUUUUGUUGCUAUCUGAUUUCUAACGCGUCCAGGAAGAGAUGCACGUACCCCUACCCAACUUGCAUCACUUGGCCUCCAACACCCGCAGGGCCUCGGAUUUCAGAUGCCCGAUUCUGCAGCGCUCCCUCCAGGGCCACAGUUGCCACAGCACAUACCGCCAGGAAGAGCAGAGCAACCAGGAGGUGGGCCCGGAACAGUAGACUCCAAGCCCCCACAGCACGCACAGAGACGCUCAGAGCCACCGCCACACAGGUGGGCAGAGGAGGAGAUCCCCGCCACGUCUCAUCCCUGCUGGCCUGGGUGCCCCUUCUGCGCUCCCCUCACUGCAGUCUCUCCCAGCUGGAAGUCCGACAACCUGCCCCCCACACCCUGAACCAGCUCGCGCAAGGGAUCCCUGUGAAAAUCCACGUUUGAUGAACCGGGGAAAGGCAGCUUAGGGGAUUUCUUGGCAAGGAUGUCAAUGAGGCGUGACCAAAAAAGUAGGAGUCAUUUCCAAAGAGGGCAAAUGACCUCUGGUGUGGGCCCAGCUGGCCAGCCCCCAGACCGCCACACAGGGCUCCAUGACCUUCCCCUGCCCCACCUGCUUCAGUGAUCUCUUCUCCCCUGGCUUCCUGUCAACCGUCCCACAGACACUGACUAACCAAGAGGAAGAGAGGGAAGACUCGGGACUGCCCUCUCAAGCACCUAACAUCACCUUCACACAUGCUAACAUCUCAGACUCAGCUGUGGACAACCUUCUCCUACAAACAAGAAAACCUAUGUUCACAGACACUAAGGCACUGCUCCAAGGUCAACAGAUGUUCCUGGUCUGCUCUCUGAUCCUGCCUGCCAGGCUUCGAGACACAGCAGCACUGCAACCAGCACAAACAAGCAGUGGCUGGUACUUUAAACAGGACUGCCAGUUCAACAGUACAGAUAAAUUGGACAAAAACUCUUUCAUUGAAACACAGACUGAAGUCCAGAAGGACAAGGAGAAAACCCCAGUGAAAGAGCAAGAGUACAAAUGCCAGUGGACUGUUCCAGAUGCCCCACGAGCCAGCAGGUUUGAGGGCAGCAUUAUUACCUGUCUGCUCUGGGGCUGCUGAUCAAACCUGUGGCAUAGAUCAUUGGUAACUCAAUCAACCCAAUGUGGACAUUUUGAUCAUUCUAAUAUGGCGGCACAGAAUGACCAGGACUAGUCACACUGGGGCACAAAACACACCCUCUUUCCAUUCCUGUGUUCUUUACACCUCCUUCCUCAAAACCCAGUGUUUUUUCCGAGACAAGAGGCAUAACAUGGCCAAAUUCAUUGUGAUCCUGUAGACAUUCUCAACAUCAACGUGCUCUGAGCUAGCAAUCUAAUGUGCAUUGAAAUCUUUAUUGCUGCUCUCAACACAAACGUUCGUGCACAGCUGCUUCUGGAAUGCAGCACCUCAUGACCAAGGGCAUCCUGCCCCAAGUGUCCCUACAGUCUCCAGUGCACAGCCCUUUGGGGGGGGCUGUCACCCAACCUGCCAUCAGGGGGCAGCGAAGAGUGACAGCAGUCUAAUCAAGAAGGAAUGGUCAGGAGUGCCUGGAGCACAGGGUGCAGUAUUGCCUAUAAAGCGCUUUUAUGUGCACACAAGAGUGUGCCCUGUGCAAACUUCUUAGUCACCAACUCUUCUGCUGAAGAAGUGCUUUCAGUGGCUUAGCUAAAAUGAGGGGCUGGCAGAUUGAUCAGAGAAAAAUUGUGCCCACCAUUUUUUUUUUUUUUAGGAAAAAAUGUUACCAAACAACCUUAAUCUUAGAAUUCAACGUAAAAUAAACAACAAUUUUGUUUUCAA